CUUCCGCCGAUCUUGGAUUUUUCUCCUUCCCGUUCCACUCACAGUUGACAAACUUCAAGAGCUUCUCAGGCGAAGCGAUGGCGGUGCCUCUCUUCAACCUCGCCCCCAAUCUUACCGACUCUGAGUCUGAUUCUUUGGCUCUCCCUCUCAUCCUCAAAUAUAAAUUCAUUCUUCGCUAGGACGAAGACUUUCGGCAAGAAAAACACGUUUCCGACCUCGAGCAAGCUUUCCAGGCCGGCAUCUCUGUAGAAAUGUAUCCAGUGGUUCAGCGAGCCCAGACUCAGGGGAGGAGCGAGGAGCGUCGUUUUGGCCACCAAGGUUACGGGACCGUCUGGGCAGAUGACUUGGAUACGAGAUGACCCCAAGUGUUUGCAUGCUAAGAAUAUCACCGAGGCCAUUGACGGCAGCUUAAGGCGAUUGCAGACAGAUUACAUUGGCCUGAUCGGUUUCUAUGUUCCCAUGUUUGGAGAAAUUGAGUAUGAUCCAAUCCGAAAGUUCAGUUCGAUUCCUAUAGACGAACAACUUGAUGCUCUUGGAAGAGCUGUUGAUUCUGAUUAGAUAUGUUGGUCUCAGUAACGAAACACCAUAUGGGGUGAUGAAGUUUGUUCAGGUAGCUGCUCGCCAUCCAAAGAUUGUCUCUGUGUAGGUUGUCUAUUUGAUCAUUGCACUCUCAGUCAAAUGCUUACUGUAUUGUUGCUGCUGAUUUUUGGACUAAAGCAACUUAUUGUCGAUUUGAUAGAACUCAUACAGCUUGCUCUGUCCAACUUUUGAUUCUGGGUUGGCUGAAUGCUGUCAUCAUGAGAGGUAUUCAAAGUGUUGGUUUUCAGAAAAAGUGAAUAGCUGAAUAAUUAAUUAUUUCAUCCGGUAUGAAAUGAUAAGGAAAGCUUGCUUGAUUUGUGCAUGCCAAUUUCUUGAUGAAGUUGAAGGUAUGUUACUUUUCCUAUCCUGUCCUGACUCCUGAGCAGUUCUUGAAGAAAUUCAAUUGAAUAUUCUUGCUAAUUAGUAGCUUGAAUAAUAUAAAAUUAGUAAGUGGAAUUAAAAUUCCAACAGAGAACAUGAGAGUCACUUUGGGGGAGGGCUUCUUAUCUCAACGUGCAUUU